UCCACUUAGAUUCAUAUUCCUGCUCACACUGCACACAACCAAAAUUCAGCAAAAUCACUGGGCUUGGUCAUACCUGAUAAUCCAUCAUACUGAAGCUUGGGAAAAAUUCAAGAAUACGGGACUCAAAGAAGUAUGGAAAUACCCAGAACGUGGGCAUCUCUCGGUCCUUAUUGCCUCCUUUUUCUGUAUCCUUCCACAUUGCCAUCAGUUUUUUAAAACUAGAAGCCAGUGCUUCCACUAAACCUCCAAAUGGG
rnacentral:lncRNA from 1 species